GAGACCCACGCCAACAGUUGCCAGCAUGUCCUCCGGGAUGAUGGGGACACUGUUGGGACCGCCUCUGCUAAGAGGAGGAAGGAAUGGGCAACGGUAGGUCAGCAUGCCCCGAAUUACCCGGGCUACACGCGGGCUACAAUGGGCAGGACAAUGGGUAUCGACACCGAAAGGUGAAGGCAAUCCCCUAAACCUGUCCCUGGUUCGGAUUGUGGGCUGCAACUCGCCCACAUGAAGGUGGAAUCCGUAGUAAUCGCGUCUCAAAAUGGCGCGGUGAAUAU
rnacentral:rRNA from 1 species